rnacentral:rRNA from 1 species
AGUACACGUGACUUAUCUACCCUCGAGUGGGGAAUAACUUGGGAAACCGAGGCUAAUACCGCAUAAUACCCACGGGUCAAAGGAGCAAUUCGCUUGAGGAGGAGGUCGCGGCCGAUUAGUUAGUUGGCGGGGUAAUGGCCCCACCAAGACGGUGAUCGGUAUCCGGCCUGAGAGGGCGCACGGACACACUGGAACUGAAACACGGUCCAGACUCCUACGGGAGGCAGCAGUGGGGAAUUUUGCNCAAUGGGGGAAACCCUGACGCAGCAACGCCGCGUGGAGGAUGAAGUCUCUUGGGACGUAAACUCCUUUCGAUCGGGACGAUUAUGACGGUACCGGAAGAAGAAGCCCCGGCUAACUUCGUG